rnacentral:rRNA from 1 species
UACGUAGGGCGCAAGCGUUGUCCGGAAUUAUUGGGCGUAAAGAGCUCGUAGGCGGCUUGUCCCGUCGGGGGUGAAAGCCCGGGGCUUAACCCCGGGUCUGCAUUUGAAACUGCGCUGCUCGGGUGCGGAAGAGGGAAGCGGAAUUUCCGGUGUAGCGGUGAAAUGCGUAGAUAUCAGUCGGAACACCGGUGGCGAAGGCGGCUUCUUGGGCCGUUUCUGACGCUGAGGCGCGAAAGCCAGGGGAGCGAACGGG